rnacentral:rRNA from 1 species
GUGGGGAAUAUUGGACAAUGGGGGGAACCCUGAUCCAGCCAUGCCGCGUGUGUGAAGAAGGCCUUUUGGUUGUAAAGCACUUUAAGCGAGGAGGAGGCUACCGAGAUUAAUACUCUUGGAUAGUGGACGUUACUCGCAGAAUAAGCACCGGCUAACUCUGUGCCAGCAGCCGCGGUAAUACAGAGGGUGCAAGCGUUAAUCGGAUUUACUGGGCGUAAAGCGCGCGUAGGUGGCCAAUUAAGUCAAAUGUGAAAUCCCCGAGCUUAACUUGGGAAGUGCAUUCGAUACUGGUUAGCUAGAGUAUGGGAGAGGAUGGUAGAAUUCCAGGUGUAGCGGUGAAAUGCGUAGAGAUCUGGAGGAAUACCGAUGGCGAAGGCAGCCAUCUGGCCUAAUACUGACACUGAGGUGCGAAAGCAUGGGGCAAACAGGAUUAGAUACCCGUGUAGUCC